AAAUUGAAUAUACUGCACGGAAAAACCUAGAGCGAAUUAAAUUGUGUGUCAGCUUCGUGUGUAUAAAUAUAGUCUUUCCUAUGCAUUAGGUUUUUCGCGUAAUGCAUUACCAGUUGACAGCCUAUGUUAUCAUGUGUACUCUGUUUACAUUACAGUUGUUUAUUAGUUUACUCAUUUGUUUUGCAACUUAUGAAAUGCCGGUGUAUAUAUAUUUUCAACAUUUGACAUAACCCUGUAUGUUUUGUAGGGACAACCCAGGACGUGCAUUUCUCAGCACCCAGUCAACUGCCAGAAGUGACUCAAACACAGGCCACCAGAGACAAUGCCUACGAAAUUAUUGGCCCUGAUGAUGAGAGCCCUCAAGGGGCAAACGACAUCUCUGUUGCAGAAGUGAGCCCGAUACCACCUGAAGUUACCAUGACAGGUGGCACGGCCGCAAUAGAUACAGAGACGGCCAUGUCUACUGCAGCUUCAACAGUGUACGAGGCAAGCAGCAGUGUGUCAGCAUCAGCAGCAGUGUCAGAAGGAACCGCACCAGGCCUGGUAGAGCAACAUGUGUGCUAUCACUGUGACUUUUUUUGUAGUGCAUACAACUCAUUUGCUCAACAUACAAAAGCUUUUCACCACGACUGUGAGCCAGUGUUCUUGUGCAGCAAGUGCAAGACUAAGUUAAGUGUUAUAACACAGUACAAGCAUCACUUUAAGAUAUGAAAACAUAUUACAGUUGUUGCCUCCCCAACCAGCCCACAUAGCGACAACAAUGUGGAACAUAUGGUGGGACACACAUCUUCUCCAUUAGAAGAUAGUAGAGACUGUCAGUGUUGUUGUUAGAUUAACUGGUCUUUGUAGGCAAUUAGAAGGACAACACAAGUGUCAUAAGAUUGUUGUUUAUGUUGUUGUUGAAAAGGUAAAAAAGUUUGAUGCAGCUGAAGUGCCAACUGAUAUUGAGCAAAUCAAAAACAACCACCUGAGAAAGCAACACUAUCGAAAUUUGGGUAUCUAUGUGCUGCCAACUCUGGUAAGGAUGGCAUAGGACAGAAGUGUGUUGAAAAUCACACAGACACUGCUGUUCCAUCACUGGUCACAGUGAGCAGU
rnacentral:misc_RNA from 1 species